GAUAGGAAGGGUGUCUUGGUGAUAAACAACGACCGUGCAAGAAUGUACAUGGGUAGUGUGUUGUAUGCGGUUAAAGCCAUCAGUGUGCAAUACAUGUCAACUUGAGUAAUUAAAGUUCUACAUGUGGCAGAAAUGGAUUGUAAGCAGAUACAGCACCUACAAUUCUACCUGUGAUACGUAUAAAACAGCAAGAAUAUGUUAACUAUUAUACACCAGCCUGGGAGAAACAAGUGGCACUAUUCUCAGAGAUUGUUAAAGGAAUGCUAGCCCAUAUUGUAAUAGCCCAAUGUCCUCCUGUUAAGCGGUUUACACACAUCUCGUCAAAGGAUCCUGUGUCAUGGGGCUGGAGAGGGAGGAUCGAGUCUGAUGGGAGCUAAAUAUUUUCUUACAAUACAAGUUACCUUCAACUUUAUCUUUCCUUGUUGACGUUUCUACUAGGGUAGUGUAGAGCACCUACAAACCUGUUUUCUAGGCCUUUUGAUGCCCAGGUGAAUAUUUCCUGAACAUUAGUUUACCUACUGUAAACCUGGUUCCCUGAAAGAGAAGAUGGACACCAACCGCGGGGUCGCUUCGGUCGACAUCACGGUUUUGUCGCGGAAGAGAGUGAAUCUCCCCUGUUAAGUACCCCCAGGAGGCGGGACCGAAGGGGUCACCGAGGGGAGAGGGCCUAUCGGCAGCUUUGAUAGAAAGAGCUCAGUGACACCUACCGAUAAGCAGGCGUGUAUCCCAUAAUGAUGUUUUGGUGGCCAUCUUCGAAUUGAAAGGGAACUAUCGUUUUCCCCAAACUGCUGCUUAUAUUAUUCGGGACGUGUUGUGGUAAUAUAGUGAGUGGAGUUGAAUAAUUAUAGUAAUAAUAACCCCCUGAAGUCACAGGUAGCCUGCUAACAGUGUUUUAUGGAAGGGUUUACUUAGUGCACAGUUUUAGGUGUUUUUAGAAUAGGAUUGGUUUUGAAAUACUGUGUAAGGUGGUUUGAAAGGGGGGAUUUUGCAAAUGGUCUUAUAAAAUAAGUUGUAUUCAAUUGUUUACUGCAAAGCAGCUUCUUAACCUGUGUACAUUGUAUAUGGCCUUCCUCUGAUGGAAUGUUACUCAACACAGUCAAUUAUAAUCAAUUGUUGUCCUUUAGAGUGUCUUACUGAAAGUUAAUUUCGCUAUGCACCACUUCAGCAAGCAAACGGAAAUGGUUAACCCAUAUUUUAACCAAAAGUCCUUAAAUGCACAUGUCAAUGCAAUCAAGUGAAUAUUAAUUUAUGGUACAUUUUGCUUUAAACUUUUCAAAUGCAGUGGAGGCAUCUUAGAGUAUGGACCUCUUUAGCAUCUCUAUGUGCAAUACACAUAUGCAGGUGUCUUUGUGACAAGAACUUUCUUCUGCUUUCUCAUAAGGUUGAAGAAGUGCAGCAAAUUAGCAUUGCUUCUUCCAGUACAGCCCUGGCUUUCAAUAAUGCCAACAUUUUUUAUUGCACAAGCAAAUGAGUCUACUGCAUUUCUAGUCUUCGAGAAAGUAUAUUUGCUUCCCAUCACAAUGCAAAGGCAGGUGGGGUAAAAUUAAGGCUUUUUGUCCAAGCUUCUAUAAAAAUGAUGCAAAUUUCUGUACAUUGAACUGUGAGCCCAUAAUACAAUAAACACUAGCUGUGCACCGUGAGUCAAUAAUGUCUGCAUCAGGAAGGUUACUGGAAUUACACAGACUGAAAUUUUUUAAGAUGAGCAUCAGAUGUAAAUCUAAGUAGCCUUUCCCUAUUGAUUUCUUGUCUGUGCUUUGGAAUAUAUUCCAGUUUGGCACCUUCUUCGUCUGGCUGUUAGCUCUGCAGUCUGCCCUACAGUUAAAGUAACAGUACACAUGUUAUAGUAUUUAAAUCCCAUUAAGCUUCAUGUCUACAGACCAUUUAAUUCUGACCCAUCUUGAUAAUACAAUGCUGAUCUGAGAUCAUGUUGGUAAAGGCUUAUUGAAGCAUAUAAUACAUGCCCUGUACACACUCAAACUGUAAACCCCUGAAGAGCUUGAGUCACAUAUGAUUAUAGUGUAGAUGGUACAUCCCACUUUAGAUCAAAUCACAGUUUAGAUUUUAUUAGUUUUAUUGUGGCAAUUAAGACUUGAUAGUGAUAUAUUUGUUUUCUGCUUUCCACCAUUUAGUCUUGCAAUUAUUCAUUUGUCAGAACUGUGUCUGAAGCAAAAACAUUUAAUCUCUGUAUUGCAAAUUUGAACUUUAUUCAACUGUCCAUUGAAGUCAGUCUCUAAUAAACUUGUCAAAUAGCUAUUCGCAUUAAAGCAUUCUCAACACCUAGUAAUGUAACAUGAGUCUCUUACUUUGCUUUUUAACGAUACAGCCACAUUUCCUUUGAGCACAAUAAAAUGUCUGCUUUAUUUCUGACAUUCUGUUGACUAAUCUCCAUUCUCAAGGCAGGAGCAAUGCCUGUGUUUAGGUUUGCAGAUACGUUUUCGAGAUAUGACCUGUGUUUCCCCCUCUUAGCUGCUGUCAGAGAGGUGGGGUCUGACAGAGACUGAUACCUGACUGAGUCACUGGCCCCAUAGUGAGAGAACACCAUUGCAAUGGUGGCAGAGGGGAACAUAUUCACUGAGAGUUUCCACAUUGCUGUUGAUCUGCAGAGAGUGCUGUGUAGGCCUUCACCAUCACGUGAGUUUAGGGAGGUAAAUGGGUUAGGACUAGGUCAGGUGCCCCAUGAGUCCAAGUGGAGACUUUCUAGGCUGGGACAUUACCUUCAGGUCUAAAUAGCUUUACAACAACCACUGCUUAGGUUUGGUUUGUAAAAGUUGCCAUUGGCUUGUCAAAAGUAAUGGAUGUUUUUAAAAAAAUUAAAAAAAAAAAAAAAUUAGGCUCAACCUUGACAAAAUGUACAACAAUUUUAUUCCCCUAAAAAGGUUGAAAUCCCUUUUGCCAUUCAUAAACAGACGAGAGACAUUUCAUGCAGAAAUAUUAUUUAAACUAUUAUUAAAUUAAUAUGCAAUUGAUAUUGUUCCUUUUUUAAAUGUCCAUCGUACACAUUUGCAUUCCAGAAAAGGGAAUACAAAAAUCAAAUGCCCUACUGAAUUUUCAAAUUAUAUGAUUGCAUUCACCAUAAAACAAUAAGCUACCAGGAAGUGCAAUAAUAAGAAAGUAAAGCAACAGUAAUAAACCACUUCUGGAAUGUAUAGCUUUGUUUAGAGGCCAGUACAAGUGUAGCAGCACUGAUGUGUAAACCAAAUCAUUCCUUUAAUAAAUCAGUGGAAGAGAAGAUAACCAUACAGGAAAUCUUCAUUAAUGUGGGGAUAAUUAUAAAUCUAAGGGAGCAUUGCAAACUAGAUUUACCAAAUACAGCACAGCAUUUCAGGUCUUUAGCUCACUGGUCACUUUAACUUUGUUUAUGAAGACAGGUGUCUUUUAUUUUAACAGUGUUUAUUAUAUAU